rnacentral:misc_RNA from 1 species
GAUGAAGAACGCAGCGAAAUGCGAUAAGUAAUGUGAAUUGCAGAAUUCAGUGAAUCAUCGAAUCUUUGAACGCACAUUGCGCCCGCCAGUAUUCUGGCGGGCAUGCCUGUUCGAGCGUCAUUUCAACCAUCAAGCCCCGGGCUUGUGUUGGGGACCUGCGGCUGCCGCAGGCCCUGAAAAGCAGUGGCGGGCUCGCUGUCACACCGAGCGUAGUAGCAUAUAUCUCGCUCUGGGCGUGCUGCGGGUUCCGGCCGUUAAACCACCUUUUAACCCAAGGUUGACCUCGGAUCAGGUAGGAAGACCCGCUGAACUUAAGCAUAUCAAUAAGCGGAGGA